rnacentral:rRNA from 1 species
UGCGUAGGCGGGUCUUUAAGUCAGGGGUGAAAUCCUGGAGCUCAACUCCAGAACUGCCUUUGAUACUGAAGAUCUUGAGUUCGGGAGAGGUGAGUGGAACUGCGAGUGUAGAGGUGAAAUUCGUAGAUAUUCGCAAGAACACCAGUGGCGAAGGCGGCCCACUGGCCCGAUACUGACGCUGAGGCACGAAAGCGUGGGAGCAAACA